UACGGAGGGGGCUAGCGUUGUCCGAAGUUACUGGGCGUAAAGCGCGCGUAGGCGGGUUGGUAAGUCCGCUGUGAAAGCCCGGAGCUUAACUCCGGAGGGUCGGUGGAUACUGCCAGUCUUGAAGGUGCUAGGGGGAGAUGGAAUUACCGGUGUAGCGGUGAAAUGCGUAGAUAUCGGUAGGAACACCAGUGGCGAAGGCGGUCUCCUGGGGCAUUCGUUGACGCUGGAGGCGCGAAAGCUGGGGGAGCAAACGGG
rnacentral:rRNA from 1 species